NNNNNNNNNNNNNNNNNNNNNNNNNNNNNNNNNNNNNNNNNNNNNNNNNNNNNNNNNNUGGGUGCUGGGGGCUCUGCUUGCAGCCCACCACCCCUCCAUCUCCUGCCCUGCCCGGCCGGGGGCUCGGCAGCACCCAGGCUGCUUCCCCGCUCCCGAGCAUCCCUUUGCACCAGCCCUGCACACAAGUUGGGGUUCAGACAGCCCCCGACCAGCCCACUCUGCUCCGUUCCCUGCGUUGCACCCUGGCCUUAUCCUGCCACCCCUCCUUAGGGCAUCGCCCCGAGGAUGCUCAGCACCCAUCGGGGUCCAGGCGCUGCUGCAGCCCCCGUGCCGUGGGAUCUGGGGGGGGUCUGGUGGCUGGGCAAAGGUGCCAAAGCCGCCCUGCCCAAACCCGGCGUGGAUCAGGGAAGGGAAGUGGUGUGGAAACCAGGCUGUGCUCGAGGCCAGCGCCCCAAAUCCGGCACCUGCUGGGGCGCAGGGCUGGCACCGAGAGUACAACACUGCCAGUGCCUGCCGCGGGGAGGGAGGGGACGGCGUCGGUGGCGGGGCUGCGUGCCGUGGUACAACGUGUGGGAAGCAGAUAGGGGCUAUGAGUCAAAGAACAACCUUCGGACGGAGCAGCUGCUGGGAUAAACGCAGGAUUUUUCACCCCGCCACCACCUCCGACAUCGCCCCUGCUCCGGAUCGGGCACGGCGGUCGCGCCAGGCCGCGGCGGGCUGGGCACUGCGGGCUGUCCCGCUGCCAAACUGCUCCACCAAGGCAGGACCUCCACAGAGACCACCCCGGGGCUGGGUUUUGUCAGGCCGAGGGUAUUUUUUUUUUUUUUUUCUCUUGGGACCCUUGCAGGACCAGGCUUGCAGGCUGCCGAAGGAGCCGCGCUGUUAAUUUUUAGCGCUACGAAACCCUGGGGAAAUUCCAGCGGGCUGGAGGGCGGCCAGUGGGAGUCUAAACGUGUAAAAGGGAUAAAAGGGCUGACCCUGGGAAUUACAGACCAGGUAGGCUGAUGGCAGUCCCUGGGCAAAUUAUGGGCUGGGUAAUUGGGGAUCCUGUCAGCCAAAAAUUAGAAGCUAAAAAUAUAAUUAAGGUCGUUAGCUCGGUUUCAUGGAUGGCAGCUCCUGUCAAGUGAGUCGGCUCUGCUUUUUGGCAUCACUCUGGGCUGGCUGAUAAAGCUAAUUGCGUUGCUGCGUUAUAAUGGGUUUCUCCCAAGUAUUUAAUUUACAGCCAGGCGACGUUUCCAUUCGCAAAACCUGCAUUAUGUGGAGUCACCGGAGCAGACACCCGACGGCUGCGGCGGCGAGGGGCUGGCGACGGAGGCGG
rnacentral:lncRNA from 1 species